GCGCCAGUAGCUCAGUUGGAUAGAGCAACGGCCUUCUAAGCCGUGGGCCGGGGGUUCGAAUCCUCCCUGGCGCG
rnacentral:tRNA from 1 species